AUGCCACCUAAGAAGGUGACGUUUCCAGCAUUCACCAAGAUGGAAGCUAGGGUUGGUAUUCUAGAGAGCGAGAUUUCGGAGGUACGUUCUGCUCUCGAGGGGGUGCAGAAUACGGUGACAACAAACCACUCUAAUUUGAUUGCAAUGUUGGAAAAAUGCUUGGGUAGGACGUUUACGGUGGAUGACGGAGACACGAGUUGCUCUGUUAAAGGUACGCCGGCAGUGACAAAAAAGGGUGAACCACAGAGUACAGUUGUCAACAAUCUUCGUGGAGAUGCUUUGACGGAGUUUCGUUAG